rnacentral:lncRNA from 1 species
AGAACAGCGUUGCAUGCAGUAUCUCUCAACACUCUUUCAACAUAGAAAAGAAGUUGAGAAUAAAAGUUGCACUCAAAUGCAGCAAAGCACAUUGUCACCCAGGAUUUCCUAUAAAGAUUCAAAAUCCAUUUGUCUACCAUAAAGAAAAAGAACCGAAUAUAAAUACCUCUGAAGCGAC